GAAUUAACCUCAUAAUCUCUCACUUACUUGUAAUAAGUCUAUUACAAGCCUUUUGUAAUAACUAUGUUACAAAGCUCACAACUCGACUAUCUCUAGUCAAGAUAAAAAUACAAGGUUUAUGAUUUUAUAGAUGGUUUCCUACAUAUUUCUUCAUGUUAAGCUAAGUAGGAAUUACAAGUAGAUCACUCUAACAAAGUACAACACAACUAAGGACAUAUGAUAACACAGUACUGGAAACUGGUCCUUAGUUCUG
rnacentral:lncRNA from 1 species